rnacentral:rRNA from 1 species
GACGAACGCUGGCGGCGUGCUUAACACAUGCAAGUCGAACGGAAAGGCCCUGCUUUUGUGGGGUGCUCGAGUGGCGAACGGGUGAGUAACACGUGAGUAACCUGCCCUUGACUUUGGGAUAACUUCAGGAAACUGGGGCUAAUACCGGAUAGGAGCUCCUGCUGCAUGGUGGGGGUUGGAAAGUUUCGGCGGUUGGGGAUGGACUCGCGGCUUAUCAGCUUGUUGGUGGGGUAGUGGCUUACCAAGGCUUUGACGGGUAGCCGGCCUGAGAGGGUGACCGGCCACAGGGGGACUGAGAUGCGGCCCAGACUCCUGCGGGGGACAGGAGUGGAGAAUAUUGCACAAGGGGCGAGAGCGUGGUGCAAAAGCGCCGUGUGCGAGAUGGCGCCCUUGGGGUUGAAAACCGUUUUCGCGUGAGGCAGAGCGUGAGAGGCGAAAGGGGAUAAAGAAGCACCGGCUAACUGCG